rnacentral:rRNA from 1 species
UUGAAAGGGAAACGAUUGAAGUCAGUCGUACCAGCGGGAAAUCAACCUUUCGAGUGGGGGUUUUGGAGUUUUUUGAAGAGUGUCAAAACCUUUGAGAUUUCAAAAUAUUCGCUCCUUUGGUGUACUUUCUCGUGGGUAGGUUAACAUCGAUUUCGAUCAUCAUAAAAGGAUUGGAGGAAUGUAGCUUCGAUCUUGUAUUGAAGUGUUAUAGCCUUUGGUAAAUGUGAUGAUUGGGAUCGAGGAUUGCAACGAAUACCCUUUUGGGCUAUCCGCCUGAUCUCUGAUACGUGGCCUUGGCAUCGAAAGCUUGCUUAUGGUAUCAAGGUAUUACGGUCAAAAGGUUAGAACGGAUUACAUUCGUUAAGGAUGUUGACGUA